rnacentral:rRNA from 1 species
CACCGGCGGCCCGAGUGGUGAUCGUGAUUAUUGGGUCUAAAGGGUCCGUAGCCGGUUUGGUCAGUCCUCCGGGAAAUCUGACGGCUCAACCGUUAGGCUUUCGGGGGAUACUGCCAGGCUUGGAACCGGGAGAGGUAAGAGGUACUACAGGGGUAGGAGUGAAAUCUUGUAAUCCCUGUGAGACCACCUGUGGCGAAGGCGUCUUACCAGAACGGGUUCGACGGUGAGGGACGAAAGCUGGGGGCACGAACCGG